AGAGGUGAGGGUAAUUUAGAUGUGAUAUCUAUCACUCCAUAGAUGAUCUAGCUGGUUAGGCAGGGGUCCUCUUUCCUUCCACUCCACUUUGUGUACCUCCCUCCAAAAGCUUGGUGCUUGGUUUAAAAGGACGACUUUCUCUGAUCCGGGUGGACUCUACAGUCAAGGGUAUCCCAGUGGCUGUGUUCCCUACCGGAACCUCCAAACAAGCCCUCAUGGUCCAACUGCUGGUAUUUUAGGAGUGCACCCCUGCACACAGCAAGAUUUAAUGCAUGGGUAGGAACGUACCCAACUUGCUUAGGGAUU
rnacentral:snRNA from 1 species